AGUUCUCACUGAGACCUGUCACCCCGACUCAACGUGAGACGCACCGCCCGGACUCACCAUGCGUGAAUGCAUCUCAGUCCACGUGGGGCAGGCAGGUGUCCAGAUGGGCAAUGCCUGCUGGGAGCUCUAUUGCUUGGAACAUGGGAUUCAGCCUGAUGGGCAGAUGCCCAGUGACAAGACCAUUGGUGGAGGGGACGACUCCUUCACCACCUUCUUCUGUGAAACUGGUGCUGGAAAACACGUACCCCGGGCAGUUUUUGUGGAUCUGGAGCCUACGGUCAUUGGUGAGAGGAAGUGGGGACAAAAUUGAAGGGGGUGGAGCAUGACUCAAAGCUUCUCCCUGGAGAGAGAGGGUAUUUAGACCAGGCAUUCCUAGCCCUGAAAAUUCCUAGCCGUACUUGAAGCUGCAGAAGGCAAGCUGAUCUGAGACUGGCCUGGGCAGCUGGUCUGGGUUUCUCUCACACUCUGGUAUCUCAGGCUGGCAGGAGGAUGAGUCCUUCCAUGCAUCUGGCCACAGCUACCACCCUGGGGGAGGAAGGUCCCUGCUGAGCAUAGCUUUGUGGUUUUUGCCCUUCCAGAUGAGAUCCGAAAUGGCCCAUACCGACAGCUCUUCCACCCAGAGCAGCUCAUCACUGGGAAAGAGGAUGCUGCCAACAACUAUGCCCGUGGUCACUAUACCAUUGGCAAGGAGAUCAUUGACCCAGUGCUGGAUCGGAUCCGCAAGCUGGUGAGAGUGUGUCUUGGGAGGGAGGG
rnacentral:lncRNA from 1 species